rnacentral:rRNA from 1 species
UGGGGAAUAUUGGACAAUGGGGGAAACCCUGAUCCAGCAAUGCCGCGUGAGUGAUGAAGGCCUUAGGGUUGUAAAGCUCUUUUACCAGGGAUGAUAAUGACAGUACCUGGAGAAUAAGCUCCGGCUAACUCCGUGCCAGCAGCCGCGGUAAUACGGAGGGAGCUAGCGCUGUUCGGAAUUACUGGGCGUAAAGCGCGCGUAGGCGGCGGCUCAAGUCAGAGGUGAAAGCCCGGGGCUCAACCCCGGAACGGCCUUUGAAACUAGGUUGCUAGAAUCUUGGAGAGGUCAGUGGAAUUCCGAGUGUAGAGGUGAAAUUCGUAGAUAUUCGGAAGAACACCAGUGGCGAAGGCGACUGACUGGACAAGUAUUGACGCUGAGGUGCGAAAGCGUGGGGAGCAAAC